rnacentral:rRNA from 1 species
CUACGGGCCGCACCAGUGGGGAAUAUUGGACAAUGGGCGCGAGCCUGAUCCAGCAAUGCCGCGUGAGUGAAGACGGCCUUAGGGUUGUAAAACUCUUUCGCUAGGGAAGAUAAUGACUGUACCUAGUAAAGAAGUCCCGGCUAACUCCGUGCCAGCAGCCGCGGUAAUACGGAGGGGACUAGCGUUGUUCGGAAUUACUGGGCGUAAAGAGUUCGUAGGCGGACUGACAAGUUAGAGGUGAAAUCCCAGGGCUCAACCCUGGAACUGCCUUUAAAACUGUCAGUCUAGAGACCGGAAGAGGUUAGGGGAAUACCUAGUGUAGAGGUGAAAUUCGUAGAUAUUAGGUGGAACACCAGUGGCGAAGGCGCCUAACUGGUCCGGUACUGACGCUGAGGAACGAAAGCGUGGGGAGCAAACAGGAUUAGAUACCCGAGUAGUC